ensembl:snoRNA SNORD116 Small nucleolar RNA SNORD116
GGAUCGAUGAUGAAUCCCCCCAAAAAACAUUCCUUGGAAAAGCUGAACAAAAUGAGUGAAAACUCAUACCGUUGCUCUCAUCCGAACUGAGGUCC